rnacentral:rRNA from 1 species
UACGUAGGCAGCGAGCGUUGUUCGGAAUUACUGGGCGUAAAGAGUGUGUAGGCGGUGCUCUAAGUUCGGUGUGAAAUCUCCUGCUUAACUGGGAGGGUGCGCCGGAAACUGGGGUGCUCGAGCGUGGGAGAGGAAAGCAGGAAUUCCUGGUGUGAGCGGUGGAAAUGCGUAGAUAUCAGGAGGAACACCUGUGGUGUAGACAGCUUUCUGGACCAUUGCUGACGCUGAGACACGAAAGCGUGGGUAGCAAACAGG